UGGCAGCCGAUAGAGCGGAGGAGAGCGAGGUGGAUUUGAGUCCCGUCAAGAAAAAGAGAGUCACAAAGAAGAACGACAGACCAAAGAAAAGUCCCCAAAAGACUCUGAAAUCCAGGAAGGUGCCCAGCAGUGACCCCAAAUCCAGACUUGUGGAAAUGGGAACCCAGACAUCACCCGGACUUGCCCAAAAAUCCAGAGGCAGACCCAAGAAAACGAGCACCUGAACAUCCACCUCACUCCUCCUCUCAGGCUUUUAUGUUGGAUUUACUUUGGGCUGGUACACUGUUACACUGUGCUAAUAGAUGCUGAUGUUUGAUUGCAUUGUAACAAUAAAGAGAUAACGACAUUGA